UACAGAGGUGGCAAGCGUUGUUCGGAAUUACUGGGCGUAAAGGGCGCGUAGGUGCCUUUUGAGCCAGAUGUGAAAUCCCCGGGCUUAACCUGGGAAUGGCAUUUGGGACUGCAAGGCUGGAGUGCGGCAGAGGAGACUGGAAUUCCUGGUGUAGCAGUGAAAUGCGUAGAUAUCAGGAGGAACACCGGUGGCGAAGGCGGCUUUCUGGACAGAUACCGACGCUGAGGCACGAAAGCUAGGGAGCAAACAGGAUUAGAAACCCCUGGUAGUCCGAACAACGAUGUCC
rnacentral:rRNA from 1 species